rnacentral:rRNA from 1 species
AUUGAACGCUGGCGGCAGGCCUAACACAUGCAAGUCGAACGGUAACAGGAAGAAGCUUGCUUCUUUGCUGACGAGUGGCGGACGGGUGAGUAAUGUCUGGGAAACUGCCUGAUGGAGGGGGAUAACUACUGGAAACGGUAGCUAAUACCGCAUAACGUCGCAAGACCAAAGAGGGGGACCUUCGGGCCUCUUGCCAUCGGAUGUGCCCAGAUGGGAUUAGCUAGUAGGUGGGGUAGCGGCUCACCUAGGCGACGAUCCCUAGCUGGUCUGAGAGGAUGACCCGCCCCGCGGGACCGGGGACCCGGUCCAGCCCCCCACGGGGGGCGGGGGGGGGGAUUUUUACCCAGGGGGCGCAGGCCUAGUGCGGCCAUGCCGCGUUUAUGAAGAAGGCCUUGGGGUUGUAAAGUACUUUCGGGGGGGAGGAAGGGAAUAAAGUUAAUACCUUGGCCCAUUGCCGUUACCCGCAAAGAAGGCCCCGGCUAACCCCGU